rnacentral:rRNA from 1 species
AAAACGACGGCCAGUUGGUGCAUGGCCGUUCUUAGUUCGUGGAGUGAUUUGUCUGGUUAAUUCCGAUAACGAACGAGACUCAAAUUUCUUAACUAGAUGCCGGCAGGGCUAUGGUGUUGAAACUUUGUAUGCGAUUUUGUCCUCUAUGCUUUAAAAUAUUUUUAUAUGUUCCUUUACGGGUUCAUAUUUGAAUUUUUAUUGUAUAUGAUAAAAUUUGUUGUGCAGGUGGAGCUAUACCUGGUGGUUUGUCUGAAUAAGACACUUGCUUCUUAAAUGGACAAAUUGCGUCUAGCAAUAAUGAGAUUGAGCAAUAACAGGUCUGUGAUGCCCUUAGAUGGUCAU